GUUCUGAGUACGUGGGAGCUCCUCGUGUUGUGCAUGCGAUAUGCGCGUGCUUGUUGCUGGUGAGGUAAGGAUGGUUCAUCAGGACGUGGAUCUACUCUGCGGAAAAAAUGGAAGUAUCUGCGGGACAACUUUUCCGCUGAGUACAGCAAGCGACCUGUUAGUCGAUCUGGCGACGGCGCUGACAACUACCCUCAAUCAAAAUGGACAUAUUUCAGAUCAUUACUUUUUCUUAAAGAUAUUGUUGCUCCAAGGGCCUGCUCUGGCUCUAUCGAGUCAACACCGCUGCCAGUGCCAGCAACACCAGGUGGCACAUGCGAUGAACAACCUCAACUUUACAUAGAUAAUGCUGAAGAGGGACAAAGUGUAUUAGAUCUAGAGUCAAUUCUCGUAGAGGGCAGCGUGGCUGCAGAAUCACAAGAGUCGACUGAGCAAUUUCCGGCCGUGGAAAGAGUCAUCGAGGAAACAGAUGGGAGGCAAGUUCAGUUUACUGGUGGCGCUGGUACUUUCCCCAAAACCCCAUCAACUUCACGGGCGAUGAAAAGAAAGAGUCGACAGGAUGACCACUACCAGCAGAGAAUGUGUGAUAUAGAAGAGAGAAAAUUACAGUACCUAUUCGACAAACAGGCGAGGAAAAGAGACAACGAGGAUGCUGAUACCGACUUAAUGUUCUUGAAGACACUGCUGCCCCAUAUCAGGCUGAUACCGCAGCACAUGAAGUUGAGAUUUCAGAGUAAAGUGCAGGCAGUGAUUGAAGAAUUUGCCUACAGUAACAAUCAGAACUUUUCUCAAAUACAUGUGCAAACAGAAUCACUCUAUCAGAGCUACUCUACAUCACAUUCACCAUCACUUUCUCAUUCCCCUUCUCCAACCACUUCUUUUGAUUCUGCACAACAGUUGAGACAUUGGUAACAAACAAUAGUAUUGAUGAAAUGUGCCAGAAAUGACUUUCAAUUUUUGUUCAUUCUAUUUUUUCUCUUGCCGUAUUUAGUUCAAAUCACAUUAUGUACAUUGUAGGCCUAUGUCAGUCAGGUAUGGUUUGACAAGGAAGUUUUCUUUAAGGAAGUUUUCUUUCUUUCUUUCUUCCCUCUUAUCUGUUGGUAAGACGUCCGCAAUCAACGCAGUCAUUUUUUUGCUAAAGAUUUUUAAAAUCAGGAUUUUUUAAAAAUCUGUAGAUCUAGAUCAAACUGAAUAUUUUUAAAAUCAAAAGUUCAUUUAAAAUUAUGAUUUUUUACCCAAAAAGUUCAAUUGAUUGAAAUAAAAUAUUGGAUAAUGAGCGUAAGUUAUGGUAGGCUACUAUAACUAUGAUUCCUUUUCGUAAGGUAACAUAUCUCAGGUGUAGAUCUAGAGGUAUGUUAUUCAAAAAUGAAGUAGUGGUCUUCAUGAAGUACAUGUAUUUCAUUUCUUUUCGUUUCUAUGUAACAGGAAAGCGUACAUAAAGCAUUGUGUGUCCUGAAUUUUUAAUUAAAACUAAAAAAGAUCUAGUCUAGAUCUAGAUCUAAUAUAAAA
rnacentral:misc_RNA from 1 species